UUUUGAGCACAAUAAACCAAAGAAUGUAAUUUUAUAUGUACCAGCUUAGCCAUGUUAUAUGAUAACGCAAGCUUGCCCUGACUAGCUUGCCUAACAGAGGAGGACCCACACGAGUCCCCUGCUGUACAGCAUGGCGUCAGUGUGAGGCUGGCUUGUUUUUUGAUGCCCCUAAACCUGAAGCGGAGUCGGUUAACCUAGCCGCACGGAUGUCUCGAUACAAUAAUAUUGUAAUGUUGAUAACAUGCUGUACACGCAGCCAUAACUGGGAGCAGCCCUUGGGCCCACAACCAC